rnacentral:rRNA from 1 species
GAUGAACGCUGGCGGCGCGCCUAACACAUGCAAGUCGAACGGUUAAAGCAUCUUCGGAUGUGCAUAAAGUGGCGAACGGCUGAGUAACACGUGGGCAACCUGCCCCUCGCAUCGGGACAACCUCGGGAAACCGUGGUUAAUACCGGAUACUCCGCCACCCCCGCAUGGGGGAGGCGGGAAAGCCCAGACGGCGAGGGAUGGGCCCGCGGCCUGUUAGCUUGUUGGUGGGGCAGUGGCCCACCAAGGCGAUGAUGGGUAGCCGGGUUGAGAGACCGACCGGCCAGAUUGGGACUGAGACACGGCCCAGACUCCUACGGGAGGCAGCAGUGGGGAAUCUUGCACAAUGGGCGAAAGCCUGAUGCAGCGACGCCGCGUGCGGGACGAAGGCCUUCGGGUCGUAAACCGCUUUCAGCAGGGACGAGGCCGCAAGGU